rnacentral:rRNA from 1 species
GGGGGCAAAGUGACAGGUGGUGCAUGGUUGUCGUCAGCUCGUGUCGUGAGAUGUUGGGUUAAGUCCCGCAACGAGCGCAACCCUUAUUGUUAGUUGCCAUCAUUCAGUUGGGCACUCUAGCAAGACUGCCGGUGACAAACCGGAGGAAGGUGGGGAUGACGUCAAAUCAUCAUGCCCCUUAUGACCUGGGCUACACACGUGCUACAAUGGGAAGUACAACGAGUUGCGAAGUCGCGAGGCUAAGCUAAUCUCUUAAAGCUUCUCUCAGUUCGGAUUGCAGGCUGCAACUCGCCUGCAUGAAGCCGGAAUCGCUAGUAAUCGCGGAUCAGCACGCCGCGGUGAAUACGUUCCCGGGCCUUGUACACACCGCCCGUCACACCACGAGAGUUUGUAACACCCGAAGUCGGUGAGGUAACCUUUU